rnacentral:rRNA from 1 species
GAUGAACGCUGGCGGCGUGCCUAAUACAUGCAAGUCGAGCGAACGGACGAGAAGCUUGCUUCUCUGAUGUUAGCGGCGGACGGGUGAGUAACACGUGGAUAACCUACCUAUAAGACUGGGAUAACUUCGGGAAACCGGAGCUAAUACCGGAUAAUAUUUUGAACCGCAUGGUUCAAAAGUGAAAGACGGUCUUGCUGUCACUUAUAGAUGGAUCCGCGCUGCAUUAGCUAGUUGGUAAGGUAACGGCUUACCAAGGCAACGAUGCAUAGCCGACCUGAGAGGGUGAUCGGCCACACUGGAACUGAGACACGGUCCAGACUCCUACGGGAGGCAGCAGUAGGGAAUCUUCCGCAAUGGGCGAAAGCCUGACGGAGCAACGCCGCGUGAGUGAUGAAGGUCUUCGGAUCGUAAAACUCUGUUAUUAGGGAAGAACAUAUGUGUAAGUAACUGUGCACAUCUUGACGGUACCUAAUCAGAAAGCCACGGCUAACUACGUGCCAGCAGCCGCGGUAAUACGUAGGUGGCAAGCGUUAUCCGGAAUUAUUGGGCGUAAAGCGCGCGUAGGCGGUUUUUUAAGUCUGAUGUGAAAGCCCACGGCUCAACCGUGGAGGGUCAUUGGAAACUGGAAAACUUGAGUGCAGAAGAGGAAAGUGGAAUUCCAUGUGUAGCGGUGAAAUGCGCAGAGAUAUGGAGGAACACCAGUGGCGAAGGCGACUUUCUGGUCUGUAACUGACGCUGAUGUGCGAAAGCGUGGGGAUCAAACAGGAUUAGAUACCCUGGUAGUCCACGCCGUAAACGAUGAGUGCUAAGUGUUAGGGGGGUUCCGCCCCUUAGUGCUGCAGCUAACGCAUUAAGCACUCCGCCUGGGGAGUACGACCGCAAGGUUGAAACUCAAAGGAAUCGACGGGGACCCGCACAAGCGGUGGAGCACGUGGUUUAAUUCGAAGCAACGCGAAGAACCUUACCAAAUCUUGACAUCCUUUGACAACUCUAGAGAUAGAGCUUUCCCCUUCGGGGGACAAAGUGACAGGUGGUGCAUGGUUGUCGUCAGCUCGUGUCGUGAGAUGUUGGGUUAAGUCCCGCAACGAGCGCAACCCUUAAGCUUAGUUGCCAUCAUUAAGUUGGGCACUCUAAGUUGACUGCCGGUGACAAACCGGAGGAAGGUGGGGAUGACGUCAAAUCAUCAUGCCCCUUAUGAUUUGGGCUACACACGUGCUACAAUGGACAAUACAAAGGGCAGCGAAACCGUGAGGUCAAGCAAAUCCCAUAAAGUUGUUCUCAGUUCGGAUUGUAGUCUGCAACUCGACUACAUGAAGCUGGAAUCGCUAGUAAUCGUAGAUCAGCAUGCUACGGUGAAUACGUUCCCGGGUCU